CCUAAAAGUAUAUCCUCUACAUUUUCUUUGGUUGAAAACUUUGCUUUCUCUAUAUUUUUUUGGUUGAAAACUUUGCUCUUUUUAUAUUUUCUGUUAAUUGAAAAUUCUGAUCUUCUCAUCUAAUUUGCUCUUUCAAUUAAAGAUAUGACGUCUAAUCGCCGGCAAAGCACAAAUAAUUCGGUGGAACCUGAUACAAAUUUUCCUACGGAAACAUUAGCACAGCGAAGAGAAGAGAUGAUGAACGAAGGCACAAAUAGUAACGAUUCUCCUAUGUACUCAGAAACAUAUGACGGUGAAAUGUCAGAUACUCAAGUUCCAGAGACACAAGAAAACGAAGAGGUGUACUCAGAAACAUAUGGUGGUGAAUUGAGUUAUGGAAUUUGGAAAAUGAGCAAUUUGAAGAGUUAAUAAUUCAACCAGCACUGAGUUACUACAAUCGAUAUUUUCAAAGAGGACCAGUCCAAACAGACGGUGGUUUGGGGUGGAUAAAUAUUUGGCAUCGUCUACAAGAAGAUGAUGCUGCUUGUCUACAAUUACUACGAAUGUCACUUAGUACUUUCAAAACAUUGUGUGAUAAGUUACAAACAAGUUAUGGUUUAAGAUCAACAAUGAAUGUAAGCAUUGAAGAGAGUGUGGCAAUGUUUUUACAGAUAUGUGGUAUAAUGAUGUUCAAAGA